rnacentral:misc_RNA from 1 species
AACCAUAGAAACCUGCGGAGUACCUGCGGAGGGAUCAUUACCAGAGUGCCAUAGGCUCUCCAACCCAUUGUGAACAUACCUAUCGUUCCCUCGGCGGGCUCAGCGCGCGGGGCCUCCGGGCUUCCGGGCGUCCGCCGGGGACAACCAAACCCUGAUUUACUACGUGUAUCUCUGAGGGGCGAAAGCCCGAAAACAAAAUAAAUCAAAACUUUUAACAAUGGAUCUCAGAUCGGAAGAGCA